rnacentral:rRNA from 1 species
AAAAACAUAGCCUUUAGCCAAAUAAGUAUUAAAGGUCCUGCCUGCCCAGUGAACUUAACGGCCGCGGUAUCCUAACCGUGCAAAGGUAGCGUAAUCACUUGUCUUUUAAAUAAAGACUUGUAUGAACGGCUAAAUGAGGAUAAAACUGUCUCUUUUAACUAAUCAGUGAAACUGAUCUUCAAGUACAAAAGCUUGAAUAAACCCACAAGACGAGAAGACCCUGUGGAGCUUAAAAUUAAACUAUUAAAACAAUAGCAACCUUUUAAGUUGGGGCGACUUCGGAUAAAAACACAACAUCCGAGCAUAGGGCCAAACCCCAGCCAAGACCUACAAGUCUAACUGACCCAGUCUAACUGAUAAACGAACCAAGUUACCCCAGGGAUAACAGCGCCAUCUUCUUCAAGAGUUCCUAUCGACAAGAAGGUUUACGACCUCGAUGUUGGAUCAGGACACCCAAAUGGUGUAGCAGCUAUUAAAGGUUCGUUUGUUCAACGAUUAACAGUCCUACGUGAUCUG